UCAUCUACCCCAAGUGUUUCCCCGGCGGCCAUUACACACUGGGAGGCCCCCCUCCAAACCUUGGGACGGUCCACUGUUAUUAUUACAUCCCUUUACUUAGAUGUGUGUGUAUUAGGUAGUUGUUGUGGAAUUGUUAGAUAACUUGUUGAUAUUGCUGCACUGUCGGAACUAGAAGCACAAGCAUUUCACUACACUUGCAAUAACAUCUGCUAACCAUGUGUAUGUGACCAAUAUGAUUUGAUUUGAAGAGGUUUCAGCACUUCAUUAAUCAUUCAGUGAAGGAGAGCCCUCCUCUUCGAUGGGCACAUGAGCCAGAUGUCUUCCACCACACGGCACCCAUAGGUUGAGUUCUCUAAGGUAGCUGGAGACCACUCAGCCAUUUUGAAGCACUCCUACAUGGUAAACAAAGUAUUCCACUAGCCCGUACCAGCGCUGUAAGGACAUGUGCUAUGUGGUGGAAGGGAUUAAGAAGUGUGGCCUCUUCCCUUUUGACCUUUCAGCCAUUGAAUGGUGCCAUUUAAUGCCGUCUCGGUCUCUACCGAGUCCCAACAUCGCCUCUCCUGGAACCACCAGCACCUCCACCCCAGCGACCACUCAGCCCCUGCUCCAAACCCAGCCCUAGAAGAGCACCCCUAACCGAGGGAAUUCAUAUCCUUAUUUCAUUUUUUUGUGACGGAGGGAGGGUAGAUCAGCUAUAAUAUUGCAAAUAGAUUGUAGUUUCCAUCAAUGUAAUUGUCUGCAUCGCUUCCAGUCCCCCAUAUAUCUUUUUGCAUAUAUGUAUGUAUACACACAAAAGACUCCUUGUGUUUGCCACAUGCUUCACCGGGGAGGAAUGCACUCACCAGUGGAAGGACAAGGGUGAGAAGGAGAUGGCAAAGAAAGAGCUUCGGGCAGCCCGGCACAUAAUCUAGUUCCAUGCUGACCACACCGCUCGCGUUGCAAAAUAAAGUAAAACACGUUAUUCAAUGAUUGCACCCACAGUGCUCGUGCCUGCCAAAAAUUAAGCGCUAAAAUAGAAGUCAGUUCUAUUUGUGACGCUGAAAGCGGUGCGGUGCAAGUCCUGCCUCUCCCAUCUCCUCACUGGUUUAUAGAAGCAGAUACCCACGUGCCAUCUCCUCAUUGGUUAAACCCACGUGGGUGAUUGAAAGGUCAUAUAAAACCCAAAGAAGAAAAACGCCUGGAAGGAGGAGAGAUGACUAGAAAAUAAUCGGUUUUCUGUUUGGAUUAAUUCUCAGGUUAGAGGACCUUGUGCAUUUCAGGUAAAAUAAUAACUAUAUAUAUACAAUAUAAACUCAACUUUAUAUCCCAGGACAGCCAGCUAGCUAAAUAGAACAAAUUAGCUAGCAACUGCUAGAUAGCUAGAAACAUUUCCAUAAAUGUUUAAUGCUUUUCGACCGGUCCCCAAAUUAAUAUAAUUGGUUCAGAGUUUGUUUUGAUAUUUCAACCUGCGUGUCAUGAUCACGGUUUGGUAUGGGGGACAAAAUCAAUUUACGCACAAGGCCUGUUUUGGUAUGAUGUUAUGGAAUCUAUAAAACGAUAACUAGUUACUAUACUGCUGUACAGUUGCUAGCUAGCGAUGUCUGUAUGAAGAACAUAUAUUUUUAGCUAGUUUGUAGCUAGUUAAAACUGCAUCGCCUGUCAAUGCACGAUUGUCAUCAUUGCUCUGAAAGUUGGCACAGUUUAGACAAGAGAGUACUUUAGGGGUUAUUAGCUACAUAAAAUCAAAUCUCACUGACCAAUUGGGUCUGCGGUCUAUUUUUCCGUCGAGAGAUGUUGUGUAGCCUUCAGUGGGCAAGCGGUCAUUUGAUGGAGGAAGUGAUAUUGUAGAGGAGUUCCUACAAGAGGCAAAGGACAUCCAACAACGAGAACCUUACCAAAAUGGAAAGUUGUUACAUUUGUAUCCUUUUUUGUUGUUGUACGGCAUGUGUGGCAAAGGCUGAGAUUGUAUCAUUUUACUUGUCCUGUGUUAAGUCUCCUGUGUCAAGUCUCGGAUUUUGUGAUAUAUUAUUAUAUUAUUAUUAUAUUAUAUUAUUUUGUGUGCACCUCUAUUUAGCAAAGUCAAUCUAUGAAAACAUUUAUUGAGUUGGCCUAUAAUGCUGUUCAUAAAUUCUAUAUGGUACUCUUAUAGUAUUUUAACCUCAACAUGUUUAGGAGUGUAUGUUGUAAUUAAUGAUCUAUUUUUGAUUUCAGUAGUCUAUCACGUGCCUUUGGAGGGAAGGCGGUAUCACAUCACCAAGGAGCAGCUUGCGUUCCUCAUAGAUUGUCAUAUAACCAUCCGACAAAUGGUAGAUGUUCUCAAUGUGUCGCACUCUGUGGUCAAACGGCGCAGGUCCUACUCACUGUUGUCAUACGCUCAGCUGGAUGAGAGGAUCAAAGAGCUGAUAAGACAGAAUGAAGGCAGAGUCUGUGAGGGCACGCUUAAGAGGAGAAGGUGUUCAAGUCCUGUGGCAGAGGGUUAGACGGUCUGAUCCGUGUCAACCCCCAGGGAGCUGCGAGGAGAGCCAUACAGAAGUGGCUACACCAGAGGCAGUACAGAGUUGCAGGCCCAAAUUCUUUGUUGCACAUCGAUGGCAACCAUAAACUGAUCCGGUAAGUGCAUACGCUUAGGCCUCCUGAAUACUGCACUUUUUUUAAAACAAUCUUAACUUCGUAAAAAACAUGAUUUAUCUCCUUUAUAUGGUAAUGAAAGUAUUGUGGUCAUUUUCCUGGGUAUACAGUCCCUUCAGAAAAUAUUUACACCUCUUGACUGUUUCAACAUUUUGUUUUGGUACAACCUGACUUUAACUGUUGAGGCAUCUAGACAACUUGUGUUGCAGCUGAACUGGAGCGGACCUUCCCAAAAGCUAAGGACGUUCUCCAUUUUACCUUUAUUUAUCUAGGCAAGUCAGUUAAGAACAAAUUGUUUUUUACAAUGACGGCCUAACCCGGACGACACUGGGGCAAUUGUGCCCCACUCUAUAGGACUCCCAAUCACAGCCGGUUGUGAUACAGCCUGGAUUCAAAGCAGGGUGUCUGUAGUGAUGCCUCUACCAUAGAAAUGCAGUGCCUUAGACUGCUGCACCACUCGGGAGCCCAUAUUCAUCCACCUAUCCAUUCACAUUUGAAUGACCUUAUCACGCUUUGUUGAAUUCCCUGUUGAGUUGUGGAUUUAUCAUCACUGUAUUCCUGCUUUAGGAAACCCCUUCCACCUACCCUGUAUGAUUUGAUCUCAAGAAAGGUACGACAGACAUGUUCAACCCUUACCAAAGAGUGUCAAGGUGUAUGGCCCCCCCCAGUGGGCUCAACUCUACACGGAUGGGGACCAGUUCUUCGUCUUCACCAACAUAUUUUAGUGUUGUAACCAAAUUAAGUCUUAUAAUGUUUUGAGAAAGUAGAUGAAAGUUUAAUACUCAAACAUAAAUGAGUAUGAAUAAUUUACAUCAAAUAAAAGUUUAAUUUCAGUGAUGUGCAUUGACAUAAACAAUGAAAAUACUGUUGGAGUUUGUGUUGCAGAGAUGCACUUGGAAAGUAAAGGAAGAAAUACACAAGAAGGGUUGAAUAAAUAUAUAUAUAUAUCAUAUUUUAGACAUGGAAUUAUAUUUUACAAAUAAAUUAUUGCAUAUGUAAACAAACAAUUCAAUCUCGACCUCCAUCCUUAUAUUGUCACAGAAAUCACAAAAACCCAGCUCCACCGUCACUGGACACACCUGCAGUGGAACCAGUGCUGACAGAAGUCACAGCACAACCAUGGCACCUCAGACUCACACUCCUGGGGGGGGCUUGCAGGUGGAUCACGCUUCCUGCGGGGAACCUGCAGAUUUCAAUCAUUCAGGAGAAUGAAUAAUGUUGGGGUCCAAAGGCGGCAAACAGGGAGAAGCCGGCUGAUAAAUGAGGGUUUGCCUGAUCGCUGACCAUCCAGAUGCUGAACAGGAUAGGUACAUUUUCCCUAUAUCCAUUCAGUACAUGAGGACUCACAGCCCAGUGCUUGCUUUGUAAUAUCUUUAGAGGAUCUUGUGAGGCAGAUCAAAGUGCGUUAUGGUCAGGAGGAGAGCAGCUUCUUGAAUGUUUUGGGGGAAACAUUCCCCCAGGUAAAUCCGGAAGGAGCGAAACGGCUGUCCCUUGAUGUCCAUUGGAUAAUAAAGCUGGCACACAUUUCAAAUUGUCUUGUCAGCAUCACAUGAAGGCCUGUAUGGAACCAUUGGGGAAAUGAUCAGUGUAUGUGGGCCACACUUCUUCUCUGAGCGACUCUACGCAGCAGUGUGUGGGAAGCCUGCUUCUCCACUCAGUCUGGAGGAGAUAAAAAAAGCAGACAAGAGGUGAAGAACAAAUUGGAGGAAUCAGUACAGGCUGAGCCUACUGGGAAUGAAAGGGAUCGUUGUCAAGACAAUGGAGGACAGGGAUGGUGUGGUAGAAUUGGUGGCCUUGGAGCAGUAAGGCAACGCUGUCAUAAAUCUGUGAAGGAUUUGUCAUUACCUCCUUUAACAUAAGUAUUUUUUAAAUCGGUCCACCCCGCCAAAUCAAUACACAUCACUAUAUUGUCAUUUAAACUUAUUUUUGAAAACAUAACAGGUUCAAAUAUGGUCUCAACUGUCUUAGGCUGCUGGAGGCAUUGGGGAACCACCGGACAGCAACCAAGCACUUUUUGUGGUCAACAAUGUUACUAACAGUAUUAGGUUGCUGUUAAUCAUGAUGAUAUAAAAUGUAACGGGGAGGCCAAACCACUGGUCCAGUAGAAUCCCUAUCUUCAUUGUUUAUUUAUUUUCAUAUGCAAUUAUAUGUCUAAAAUAUAAUAUAUAUAUAUUU